GGAAGGAUCAUUACCAAGCAAGAAUUAUCCAUUCUUGAAAACACCUGCCGUGCACCUGUAACCGUUGCUUCCGCGGAGUGAAUGUGUGUCGCUCAGCGUCCCUUCAGCUUCGCCCCGUUGGGCGAAGCCAUCCGCGGAAGGUAUGCAUUCAAUUCAAGCUGCCUUAUAUGAAAUGUCUGAGUACGACCGUUAAAUGUAUUAGUAAUCAUUCAAAACUUUCAACAACGGAUCUCUUGGUUCUCGCAUCGAUGAAGAGCGCAGCGAAAUGCGAUAAGUAGUGUGAAUUGCAGAAUUCCGUGAAUCAUCGAGUUCUUGAACGCAUAUUGCGCCUUUAGGUAUUCCUGAAGGCAUGCCUGUUCGAGCGUCAUCAAAAAAAUCAUGUCAAGGUCGAUGUCGGUUACCCAUGCCCUCGAUCUUGGUUUUGAUUGCGGAGCGGCAAUCCCGUUCCCAUUCGAAUUCCAUUGGCAAAGUUCACGAGAUGUCGUCAUAGGCGUAGUAACAUCAUGUUUCGCCGCUGCUCGCGUUUCACUUUGGCCACGCUCCUUUCAAGGUUUUCCAAACCACACUUUUCAUGACCUCGGAUCAGGUAAGAGUACCCGCUGAACUUAAGCAUAUCAAUAAGCGGAGGAAAAGAAACCAACAGGGAUUGCCCUAGUAACUGCGAGUGAAGCGGCAAAAGCUCAAAUUUGAAAUCAAGCGCUUCUGGUGUUUGAAUUGUAAUUUGGAGAGACAACUUCGAGCCUCAGAUUCUUCUAAGUUCCUUGGAACAGGGCAUCGUAGAGGGUGAGAAUCCCGUGUAGAAGGGUUGAAAAGCUCAUGUGAAGUGUCUUCGACGAGUCGAGUUGUUUGGGAAUGCAGCUCAAAAUGGGUGGUAAAUGUCAUCUAAAGCUAAAUAACGGCGAGAGACCGAUAGCGCACAAGUAGAGUGAUCGAAAGAUGAAAAGCACUUUGAAAAGAGAGUUAAAGAGUACGUGAAAUUGUUGAAAGGGAAGCGCUCAAGACCAGACUCAUGGAGAGGUGAUCUGUCGUGCUUUGGCGCGGUGCACUUGCCUCUUCAUGGGACAGCAUCGGUUCGAAUGGCCGGAUAAAGGCUUGAGGAAUGUAGCUCCCCUCGGGGAGUGUUAUAGCCUCAGGCGCAAUGCGGCCUAUUCGAACCGAGGACGGCGCGUAUGCUAGGAUGCUGUUGGAAUGGUCUUCAGCGACCCGUCUUGAAACACGGACCAAGGAGUCUAACAUCUAUGCGAGUGUUUGGGUGCAAAACCCUUGCGCGCAAUGAAAGUGAACGCAGGUGGAAGCCUUUCGGCGCACCAUCGACCGAUCCUGAAGUCUUCGGAUGGAUUUGAGUAUGAGCAUAGCUGUUGGGACCCGAAAGAUGGUGAACUAUGCCUGAAUAGGGUGAAGCCAGAGGAAACUCUGGUGGAGGCUCGCAGCGGUUCUGACGUGCAAAUCGAUCGUCAAAUUUGGGUAUAGGGGCGAAAGACUAAUCGAACCAUCUAGUAGCUGGUUCCUGC
rnacentral:misc_RNA from 1 species